UGAGGAAUAUUGGUCAAUGGGCGGGAGCCUGAACCAGCCAAGUAGCGUGAAGGACGACGGCCCUACGGGUUGUAAACUUCUUUUAUAAGGGAAUAAAGUGCGUUACGUGUAAUGUUUUGUAUGUACCUUAUGAAUAAGCAUCGGCUAAUUCCGUGCC
rnacentral:rRNA from 1 species